GUGGGAAGAGAGGAAGUUUCCUGAGAGUUCUCUAGUUGAUCUAAGAAUCAAGAAUUACUUCAAGAUUAUCUAUUUCGGGUCAUCAGAACACUAACCACAGAAAGAGAUGAGAAGGGGGCUAGGAAGCUCCGACUACGGUCCUACAAACACCGAUCCAAACGAGGUGGAAUACGUCGACCGUUAGGGCUGUCACUACCCUAGGGCUACCACAACAAUCCGCAGGAUUGGGUGCAAUUCUAGGUAAUUGCAAGACUAAACACCACGUCUAAUCUAUUAAUUACUACUCUAGCGCUAUAAAGACUAGAGCACUUGAUGCAAGCGGGAAUCCAAUAAAUAACUUGAAUGUAAAUAAAAGUAAUUAAAGAACUCAGGAAUUAUGAAUUGAAGAACCUAGAGAACGAUGAAGAACGAACCAGUUGCUGCA
rnacentral:lncRNA from 1 species